rnacentral:rRNA from 1 species
CAGAGGGUGCAAGCGUUGUUCGGAAUUAUUGGGCGUAAAGGGAGUGUAGGCGGUUUGUUAAGUCUUCUGUGAAAUCUACGGGCUCAGCCUGUAACGUGCAGAGGAAACUGGCAGACUUGAGUGUUGGAGAGGGCAGGGGAAUACCCGGUGUAGAGGUGAAAUUCGUAGAGAUUGGGUGGAACACCAGUGGCGAAGGCGCCUGCCUGGCUGAUUUACUGACGCUGAGACUCGAAAGCAUGGGGAGCAAACAGGAUUAGAUACCCUGGUAGUCCAUGCCGUAAACGAUGAUAGCUAGAUGUGUGUGGUAUUGACCCCAUACGUGUCGAAGCAAACGCGAUAAGCUAUCCGCCUGGGGAGUACGGUCGCAAGAUUA